rnacentral:rRNA from 1 species
UACGUAGGGUGCGAGCGUUGUCCGGAAUUAUUGGGCGUAAAGAGCUCGUAGGCGGUCUGUCGCGUCGAUCGUGAAAACUUGGGGCUUAACCCUGAGCUUGCGGUCGAUACGGGCAUGACUGGAGUUCGGCAGGGGAGACUGGAAUUCCUGGUGUAGCGGUGAAAUGCGCAGAUAUCAGGAGGAACACCGGUGGCGAAGGCGGCUCACUGCCGGCAUACUGACGCUGAGGCACGAAAGCGUGGGGAGCAAACAGG